UAUACCUACGGGAGGCAGCAGUGGGGAAUAUUGGGCAAUGGGCGCAAGCCUUACCCAGCAAUACCGCGUGAGUGAAGAAGGUCUUCGGAUUGCAAAGCUCUUUGAUCAGGGACGAACAGAUGACGGUACCUGAAGAACAAGCCCCGGCUAACUACGUGCCAGCAGCCGCGGUAAAACGUAGGGGGCAAGCGUUAUCCGGAUUUACUGGGUGUAAAGGGGGCGCAGACGGCAAUGCAAGCCAGGAGUGAAAGCCCGGGGCCCAACCCCGGGACUGCUCUUGGAACUGCAUGGCUGGAGUACAGGAG
rnacentral:rRNA from 1 species